CGUACACCCUAGCACGCACUUAACGAGGCGCUCAACACGUAACCAGUGCUAGUACGCAUCCUGUCAUGUGUUACGCGCGUACCGACGCUGGGUUACGUGUCCGAUUUCGCAUUACGCGCAUACCGAUGCUGGGUUACGAGUAUCGCGUUACGCGGGUUCCUACACUAGCUUAAGAGUCCGAUUACGAGUUUCGCUUGUACCGACGCAGGGUUACGCGUCCGAUUAUACGUUUCACGUGUACCGAUGCUUGGGUUACCCAUCCGGUUUAGUGUUACGCGCGUACCGUUGCUGGUUUACGUGUUACGCACGUACGAGCAAUGAUUACGCAUCCAAUUCCGCAUUACGCUCGUACUGUCGUUGGGUUACCUGCUCGAUUACUUGUUACGCACGUACCAGCGCUGAGUUACACCUCCGAUUACGUGUUUCGCUCAUCCUGACACUGGGCCAUGCGUCGGAUUACGCAUUUCGCUCGUGCCGCCGCAGAGUUACGCGUCUGAUUCUACGUUUCGCGAGUAUCAACCGCUCGGGAUAUGCAUUUGAUUCAGUAUUACGCGCGUACCAUUGGUUUACGCGUUACGCACGUACAAGCACUAAUUACACGUCC
rnacentral:lncRNA from 1 species